CCAUGAGUCUCCUAACUAGCCAGAAUAGAGCUUUAAAGUUUUAUGACAUUUCGUUAUGUAUCCUCUAUCUGUAUACAAAAUCCUGUAAAAUAGUUACUUGCCUGCAUUUACUGUCUUUGCAGAUAGCAGACUCCUUGAAAGCAGGGUCCUUGUUUAGUGCAUCUUUGCCCACAUACACCACAACAUAUCAAGAUGCAUUUAUUAGGAAGGAGGAGUUUAGAGAGCAGGCUAUCAGAAUAACCACUCAUCCUGUGCCUCCUGAUUGCUGAGUGUUCACCUGGACCUUCUGACUACCUUCCCUGUGCUAUUCCAUCAGCCUACAGACCUGGUACCUGGAUUUUUGCCCGAGAUGAUUCCUACCACCUUACUACUGACGAAGACACCCAUUCCAGUGGACCACUGUGACCCAGGAGGCAUUCAGCCAUCAUGAUGUGGCCUUUACCUCCACUCCUGUCUUGUUCUACCCAGAUUCAGCACAGCCCUUUAUAGUGAAGUCAGAGUCCUCAAGCCAAAUAGCUAAAGCUGUUUUAUCACAACAAAGGCCUAGUUUGUUCCAUGAGUGUGCAUUUCAUUUCUUCAGUUAAAGCCUUCAGAGACACACAAUAAAUUUGGACCAGGGGAUUUUUUAGUUAUUAAUGCUCUCUGAAGAAAGGCAACAUCUUUUUGAGAGCAGCAUUGGACCACACCCCACAAUCUCAAAUGAUUGAAAUUCAUGAACAUCUAGGAUCCCGUGAAGGUCACUGGACCCUGUUUUUUCUACUUCAAAUCCUGUAGUAGCCUACUGAAUGAGAAAACAUAUUCUGACCCAUUGGGAUCAAAUCAAAGGCACAGUGAACUCCUCAUAGCAUCUUCUUUGGAAUUACUCAGGAACCAGAACUUUUUACACAAAUGUAAGAAAUUCUACCAAGGAGUCCCCUUACCUAACAGCAUCUCACAAGGCUGCACCAGAUUCCAGAAAAGGCUUCUCUUGAUACAUCAAGGUAGAACCUCUAUGGUAAAUCCCUC
rnacentral:lncRNA from 1 species